AUAGCUUCUUAGCCUUUUGGCUAAGAUCAAGUGUAAUGUGAUCUGAUUGUUUAAAGGACAGUCUCUUCAAAUAUCUCAUGUAAUAUAUAAAGUGUAAUUUCUUUAUAUUUUCUUAGACAAAGCAUUGAGCAGUUAUUCACUCUCAUUUCAUAUCUUUUCAUGGGUUCUUGAAGUAUUUCCACAUAGUUGGGACCAAAA